GAUGAAGAACGUAGCGAAAUGCGAUACUUGGUGUGAAUUGCAGAAUCCCGUGAACCAUCGAGUCUUUGAACGCAAGUUGCGCCCGAAGCCAUUAGGCCGAGGGCACGCCUGCCUGGGCGUCACACGUCGUUGCCCCCCCAUCUACUCCUUCGGGAUUGCGGGGGGUGGAUGAUGGCCUCCCGUGCGCCUCGCCGCGCGGUUGGCAUAAAUGCCAAGUCCUCGGCGACGCACGCCACGACAAUCGGUGGUUGCGAAACCUCGGUUGCCCGUCGUGUGCGGUCGUCGCGCAUCGAGGGCUCGAAAAAAUUGCCGGGUUCCGGCUCGGCUUUCAACGCGACCCCAGGUCAGGCGGGGUUACCCGCUGAAUUUAAGCAUAUCAAUAAGCGGAGG
rnacentral:misc_RNA from 1 species